CUUUGUUCUGGGAGCGCUGUGCUACCCCGCAGUGACCUGACCAGCCAAGUGUUACCCCUCUGGUUAAGCAAAACUAGGCAAACAUCAGUACUGUUCUAUGGCUGACUUGAGGACUAGAGCACAGAUAGCCUGUGAGACCUACCUAAAAUCUCCAGAGGGCCAAGAUUGACAGAACAGCACAUGGUAAGGGGAGCUUCAGUGCAUCCCAAGUCUAUAAAACAGAUGCAGAAAGCAAAGUCAAAAGGAGAGAGAGUGAUGAGAAAAAUGGCAAUCAGAAGCAGACACCAGGGAAAAAUUUUAAAAUGCUCACAGCAGCUGUACAACAGAAACUGAGAAUAGGUCUGGAAACUACGACAAACAGGAUAGAAAGAGGACAUUUAUCGUAAUUACUACUUUCAUUGACAGUGCAUCUAGAAAGGUGUAGCACCAGGACCAGAAAGGGAGAACAAGUUUGUAAAUGUGCAUCUGGUUUAUGAGAGUGUUGGAGGUGACUCACAGAGGAAGUUAAGGACAGUGACAGGAAAAAAGGAAAAGAUGGAAACCAUAACGAGCCUACACAAGUGAAGAAGAACCCUGGUAAGAGAAGUGACAGCAUGGAGCCUGUUCCUGCCUGCCCAGGAGCAGGUAGCUCAGGGCUCAUGGAACCAGCCCAAUGUCAGUGACAAAGGAAUAACACAGGGGAAUGUACACAGCACGGAGGAUUUCAUGUUUUAGCCUCAUCUCUAAAUGCUCUCUGAGUGAAGAAAUAAGAUGUUUUUUGACUCUCUAAAGCUGUGGCUCAUGCAGAGCAUUUACAUUUGCCCGGUACACAUGGGUCUGCCAUGUUUAAUGGGAACUGUAAAGCAGCAUACUUUUGCCACCAAGAGCUAAAAUCUCAGGAGCAGCUGAAUCAUAUCAUUCAUAAGACAUGAGAGAAAUGACAUGAAGCUGCUUCCUGAGGAUAUCUUCAAAGCAAAGUCAUCUGAAGCAUUUUUCUCUGUAAUUGUGACAUCAGAGAAAGGAAGCGAGAAGCGACUAAUUCACCCUAGAUAUCUACCUGAAAUAAAAAAAGAAAAGGAGGAAAAAGAGCAAGAACCAGAUGUCCUAUAGACAAAAGCUGGCACUCAGAGAUAGAUUGUGGCUUAAGCAGCAAGGGGCAACAGAGGAGAGAUAGAGAUGAACACAGGCAGCUUCUGAAGUUCUUUAAAUAGAAAAGGAAGCGCCCAACCUCUACACAUUUUACAGUAAUAAACAAAAGUGUGCUAGCAGAAUGUAAGACAUUUUACAUAGAUGUGUUAAAAUAAAUUUCAAUAGAGAUGAUGAUGGAAGAAGGAAAGGUCAGAGAAGAUUCUAGGAAUGAAACACAAGCUUCAACAAUAACUUUAAUACUUCAGAAAAGAGAAUGCUACAUGAAAACGUUUCUCUUCUGAUCAGGAUAUCCGUAAUACAAGACACUGAGAUGUUUAAGGCUUUGAGUUAUCCAUGAACUUUAAGACUAAAAGUGCUUAAAGCUAGAAAAAUAAUAGUCAAAAUCCUUGAGGGAAAGAUUUUACAGGAAUUUUCAACCACCGAAGA